rnacentral:tRNA from 1 species
CGAGGUGUAGCGCAGUUUGGUAGCGCGCACGGUUAGGGACCGUGAGGUCGUGGGUUCAAGUCCCGCCACCUCGACCA